GGUGGAUGGUACAGGUGAGGAGGCCGGAAGAGCGGGAGUCUCGGAAUGAGCUGGAGUUGAUGUCGACUACAGCUGAAAAAAAAACCUAUUUUGUUUUCGGAGCAGCUGAAGGAGAUGGAUUUUCUCUUCAAUGUGCUCUGCAGAUGAGCCACUAGUCUAGAUGUUAAACGAAAGUUCGCGAGGCGGUGGACCUCUGAUCUCCACACCAAAUUUGCGUAGUCACAACACAACCGGCAUGCAAUGCGAUGCGUUUCACAUAGACGUUGAAUGGGAUGUGAGAAUUUGACGGACCCUGUGGAUACGUGGUGGAUCCGGCUGUCACGUCUGUGUGCAGUGAUGGCUGUUCCGUGACCGAUUUGGAGUUGGAGAGAUCCCGUUUGAUGUGCUUGGAGGUCGGAAAUGUGGACCAUGGAGCGCCUGGAGAGAAACUUGUGACUGCUGAGUAGAUGUUAAAGCUGGAGGAGAACUGUUCUUCGGAAGAUCAUUGUCUGGAUUGAUCAGCAGUUUGGGAUCUACGGCCUGGAAAGGAGGACAGGAAGGAGGGAGGGAGGAGAGGAAAGCACGAAAACCGUCCAGGAAGUACCAUGACAAUUUGUCUCUCUGGAGCAAAAAAAAUAAUACAUAGGACCCAUCAGAAUCAAACAGGGCUGUGUGUAAUGUGGAAGGACCAAGAGGCAAGAUGCGUAAGCGGGCGCCAGGCGAGGGCGAACCAGUGACUGUGGUCACACGCUUGUGGAUAUGAGGGAGAACAUCUGUGCAUAUCAGCAGCCUACCGACCCUGUAUGUCCACCAUGUCCUCUCGAGCCAGUCGCAGAGUCACAAAGAAGUUGCUUUUGGUCACAAAGCAUUGUUUGCUAAAGAACAUGGUACAUCUGCCUUAUCUCCGCUCAACUUAAAGUCUUUGAAUUUCUCGUCCUCCACUAUUGAAAUGACUUGUUUUAAGUGGG
ensembl:lncRNA